GUCCGAAUUGUAAUUUGAAGAGGAUGUCUCGCGAAAGGUAUCGCUCCAAGUCCUUUGGAACAAGGCGCCGCAGAGGGUGAGAGCCCCGUCCGGGCAGAUACUUGCCGCAUGUGAGACUCCUUCGACGAGUCGAGUUGUUUGGGAAUGCAGCUCUAAUUUGGAGGUAAAUUUCUUCUAAGGCUAAAUAUCGGCCGGAGACCGAUAGCGCACAAGUAGAGUGAUCGAAAGAUGAAAAGCACUUUGAAAAGAGAGUCAAAAAGCACGUGAAAUUGUUGAAAGGGAAGCGCUUGCCGUCAGACUCGUUUAUGGUCGAUCAGCCUUCGUUUUCGUUGGCGCACUCUUCCAUAGUCGGGCCAGCGUCGAUUCGAACGACUGGAGAAUGGCGUUAGGAAUGUAGCUCCUCGGAGUGUUAUAGCCUAUCGCAGCAUGCAGCCAGUUUGGAUCGAGGUAUGCGU
rnacentral:rRNA from 1 species